rnacentral:rRNA from 1 species
UACGUAGGGUGCAAGCGUUAAUCGGAAUUACUGGGCGUAAAGCGUGCGCAGGCGGUUCGGCAAGAAAGGUGUGAAAUCCCAGGGCUUAACCUUGGAAUGGCACUUUUAACUGCCGGGCUAGAGUAUGUCAGAGGGGGGUAGAAUUCCACGUGUAGCAGUGAAAUGCGUAGAGAUGUGGAGGAAUACCGAUGGCGAAGGCAGCCCCCUGGGAUAAUACUGACGCUCAGGCACGAAAGCGUGGGGAGCAAACAGG